UUUUUUUUAGCGUUUUAAUCCACUUUAUAUUUACUGGUUGUGUCCUGCAGGUGGAAGUUUGUAUAUUUUACCCCUAAAAAACUUUAAUCAUGAAGAAAGAAGCAGUGCAGGCAGCAGCCAAGGAGUUUCUGCAGUUUGUCAACAAAGGAGUCUCUCCGUAUCAUGGUAAGGUCUGGCGAAACUGCGAUGAUUCCAAAGAAAUGUGACGCUUCUUUGGAAUAAUCCUAGAAGCGUCACACUGAACCCCAUUUAGAAAUSUCUGAAUUUAAACACYUCUUAAUUCUCAGCGCGUUUUAAAAUCAAUAAUUAUUGUCAYUGUCACUUUCCUAACUCGUUAUAGCUGCUUUUUGAACUCGGCAAACUUUUUAAAGUAAUUCAUUCACAAGAAGCUGCCAGACUCUGCUAAYGAGUCAGAUCAAAAUAUAAAAUAAUACCUGAACUUUGACCCCAAAUCCAGAGGAGUUGAACAUGAGACUUUGGAUGCAGAUAAGUUUUAUCCCAGCCUGUUCUCUAACGUCUCUGUAAUCAUACGACCAGGGAGGCAGGUUAGCUCAUCAUAAGACCAUCAUACAGCAGCAGUCUUCAGUCAGAAGCCUCUGCAGAUGAGUUGGAAUGCUGACUGCUACUGGAGAGCAAAUCGGCCCACAGGAUCACCAUCUACAGAGAAAUUUAGCUUCCCUUUGGGGGAAAUGCAGAUUUAUCUAACUGCAUACGAUGAUGAUGAUGAUGAUGUUUGUUAAAUCGGUUGCCAUGGUUUCUGAACAUCAAUCUCCUGUUGAUGUCAGUACAGAACAUUUCUUAACCGUUUUGCUCCGCCGUUUGAGGAGACUGAAAUGUUUAUUUAUUAAAACAAGUUUCUCUCGUAUCCAUGGCAACAGCAGUAACCUGACCUUUAACCCCAAACAAUAGCAGACUGGAGCUUCUGGUUGCCGCUGCAGCAGAGCYGCAGCCGCAGAGGCUAAUGCUAACUGCUAGUCAGAGUGGGCCCGAUAUUAAUAUAGUGCUGCCAUCUUAAAGUGGCUCUAAUGGGCUCUUUGCACCUACGGCGUUGAUGUCACAUCUCCAGGAGCUAAUGCGGCUCACUUGUUUCCGCUUUGAGUUACCAUGACUGCUAGAAAAGACUAAGCCGUAUUUCAGAUGCAAA